rnacentral:rRNA from 1 species
UACGUAGGGUGCGAGCGUUGUCCGGAAUUAUUGGGCGUAAAGAGCUCGUAGGCGGUGUGUCACGUCGGCCGUGAAAACCUGGGGCUUAACUCUGGGCGUGCGGUCGAUACGGGCAUCACUAGAGUUCGGCAGGGGAGACUGGAAUUCCUGGUGUAGCGGUGAAAUGCGUAGAUAUCGGGAGGAACACCAGUGGCGAAGGCGACUUCCUGGCCUGUUCUUGACGCUGAGGCGCGAAAGCUAGGGGAGCAAACGGG